rnacentral:rRNA from 1 species
AUGAUGCGUUCGUCGGUGCCCUCAUCGAUGGUCAUCGAUGAACGCGCAAAUGCCGGUGGCCUAGACGUGGAGAAGAAGGGCGCAAUCGCCGUGCUCUUGGAGCACCAAGAAACCGAUCCCGGGUAUUACACUGACACCGUCGUCAAAGGCAUCGUCUUGGUACUGCUCACUGCCGGCACCGACACAUCGGCGCUGACCACGGAGUGGGCGAUGGCGCUGCUUGUGAAGCACCCAGAGGUGAUGCGGAAGCGCGGCACGAUGAUUCUCGUGAAUGGAUGGGCGAUCCACCGGGAUGUCAAUAUCUGGGAUGCGCCAGAGGAGUUCCGGCCGGAGCGGUUCUUGGAAAGAGACACGGUCACCACGCCCAUGCUGCCGUUCGGGCUUGGUCGGAGGCGAUGCCCCGGGGAAGGGCUGGCGAUGCGCCUUGUCAGCUUGUCUGUGGCAGCACCCGUGCAGUGCUUUGAGUGGGAUGUUGGUGAAGGCGACACCAUUGACAUGGCCGAAGGUGGCGGGCUGACAAUGCCAAUGGCUGCCGCCCCGGGAGUUUGUCAAGAGCGUGCUCUCUGCUUCCACUUGAUGGGCUGCGGUCUGCGGUCUGCGGACAGGUUUCUAUAG